GUUCGACGGACGAGUAGGACACGGCCCGUUCGAGAUCGAGCCGCACCGUCCGUCUAUCCUUAUCCUGUGAAAGGAAAAAAUACUGUAGCUCGUAUCAGGGAGGUCACCACGCCGCUCCGUCCCCCAGUCGAUAGGGCACGCCACACGCCGCCCCGCCGUCCGCCACCGCCGGCGCCGGUGCCGCUCGAAGCCUCCACCCUCGUGCGCCCAUAUCCUCACCGCCCCGACCCCGCUCGUCCCAGGGCCGCCCGCCCUCGACGCUCGCCGCUCGUCGCCUCCCCCUGGCCCAGAUCCUCGCGGCAGUCCACACCGCCCGCCCCUCGAAGCUCGCCGCCUCCACCUGGCCCCUCGCCGCCCAGCGAGCCAACAAGCCAUUGGUACAUUCAGCAACACCCAUCCAGCAUUGAUACUAUUACUUGUAGAUAACCAGAGACGCCAACCACUAGAGUCACAGCAGGCAAAUACAUUUGCCACUAGAUACAAGAAACAAAAAUCUCACACAUCUUGAGGAAACACGGUGCUCUCUACCAUUUACUCAAGUCUUGGAAACAAGUAGCAGGGCAGCUUCUCUUUGUAAAGAUAUCAUGAAGAACAUCUUUCACUUUCAGCAACCAGAAAUACAGCUACAAAGUACAAACUUCCCCUUGCAGCCUAGAAGCACUCGGUGAGGGGAAGAUGUACGUGUGCCAGAUUCACCAUGAGUGCAAUAUUUUGGCAUAACCUGCAAAUUGUCUAAAAUUAACCUGCACUCGGUGAGGGGAAAGAACACCGCGCUUGCUCGCGUUCUUCCGUGCCCUCCUCAUCGCCGCUCUCCUCGCCGGCGUCCAGCUAUUCCUUGUCUCCCUCAACCUUUUGACUACUGUUCAGCUUCUUAGGAUGGAAGGAGCCUCCCUGGACUCAAAUUUCGUGCGCAGGUGUAGCCCUACUAGAUUACUAGAUGGGGAUCGAUAGUCUCUCUGCUCCUGAACUGAAGGAAGCUCUUUUUCCUAAAUGCGUCGUACUGAACUUUCCUGUCAAGUGGAUACCAAGAACAAUCUUAACUUUAAUUUAUGUCUUGUAAUCUCAUGCUCUGGAUGGAUUUGAACCCUGUUUGACGAAUGAUUGUUUUUUAUAAUGUGGUUUUCCUAUGUUUAAUUUCAGCCAUACUGUUAGUAUCAACUAUUGAUCAUACUAGCUGCUGGGCGCUUAGCUAGCUAGCUAGCUAUCGCAUACACGGUAAGAUCAAAGAAACUUGCUAGUGCCUGUGUUGUCAGCUAGCUAGCUAUCGCAUACACGGUAAGAUCAAAGAAACUUGCUAGUGCCCGUGUUGUCCGGCAGACGUCACGGACAGCUGCACUCGAUUGUAUGGAUUCCACGGACACGUGAAUCAACUUAUACGGUUCUGGUGGUAAACGUGACGGCUGUCACGGACGUGUCCGUCUGCAUCCAUACGGGCCGCCGCUUCCUACUCGACGCGCGUCGCGUGUCGACGUGAAGUUGAGCACCUUCCUGCUCACCUCGACGUGUCAAUGCGUAGUAGUUUGGCGGAUGCGGUUCGGCUGUAUUUUAUCUGGCAUGAUACCAUUCGGCGCCAUGGGAUUGGGGGAUCCAUUUGCCCGCCUCGAGCAUGGCUCCGCGAAUGGCUAGCCGGCGUCCCCUUCCAUUCACAUCCAAGACAACCACUAGUGCCGGCCGUACUCCAACCCCACCAUCGCCGGCGGUACCCCCCCACCGCGGAGGCGCCACUCUUCCCCUGCUCCCCGCCAUCCACGGCCGAACUCAAGUAGCUGUGCGCGAGGCUGACACCGACUAGCCCUGGUGCUCCGCGUCCGCGGUAGCUAUGCGCGAGACGGCGAGCUGGUGGCUGACAGGGCAUGAGUGAUUUGCCGCCCGAUGCUGCGCGAGGAGGUGAGCCCGGAAGCAGGGAGAGCGGGCGGCCGGCGGCGGGUCAAGCCGGUGGCGGCAACUUGGGACGGUAGGCCUCGCUCCACUUUCAACGUCAAUCUCUCUCUUCAGUGCUGCUACCGCCCGGCACAACUCGAUUUGUUCUUCGUUUUUAGCUAUGCAUGGCCGCCGUGGGCUCCCCGGUCGCAAAGGCUGCAGUGCAGCUGAGCUCUUGAUAGGGCGUGUGGCCUCUGUUUUCUUUGUCUGCAGUAUGUGCAGAGAGGCUGAUAUGAAUGCUGCCUAAUCUUAAAUCGAGGCUACCUUGGGAGCGAUGGAAGUAACACUGCUGAAGGUUAUGUCCCGCAACUCUUACAUAUGGAAAGUUGUGAUGCAAGGUCCAUAAGUGCAGAAUCAUAAGUCCCAAAGUCACAUAACAACAUAUCUGCCAUGCUGAAUAUGAGGGUGUCUGGAAAUUCAGAAGAGUGCAGAUUCAUGGGUCCUCAACAAGGUCGACUUUAUUGUUGUGGAUCGCUAGGUAGAAUUUAUCAACGUGUCCCUUCAGUUAGCAUAAUUAUUUUUGUUUUGUUUAGCUGUUUUAGGACGUUUCAACUGCACACUCUUUUAUUGUAUAUCUUUUUACAAUAUCCAUGAUAUGCCAGUUAUCGGUAAUUGAGGCACUUAUAUGAACUCAAGUCAACACAAGUAUGCCCGAGGUUAUUUAUCCUUGACUUUGUUUCGGGGGUAGAGGUUAUAGUGCAUUACCAAUGUAUGGGUCUGCUAAAACUGAACAUUUAGCUCCUAAGUACUGAAACCUCUCUGUUAUAUAUGCUAUAAAUUUCUAUCUUCCUGUUCGAAGCUCUAAUGUAUAAAGAUUAUUGGCUAUAAUGUAUAAAGAUUAUUGUAGUGGUCGUUGAGCGACAACCCCUAUAAACUGUAUAUUGUAUUAGAACUUGUCCCCACCCCCCCCAAGUUCAUUUACUAUGUCAUGAGGGUUGCACAAUAUUUGCUUGCUUAAAAUUAUCUUCCAUUUACCUUUUUGGUAUCGUACAUUCGUUUGAAGCUGCAAUAUGGGCUGACAGUUCUGACCUUAUAGUACAGUUUUAACAUUCGCUAUGUGUUAUUACAGAUCGAAUACAUGUCCCUAUUGACUGAAGAACAAGUGAUAUUUUCCACAUGAUAUCAUGGCGCUCCACUACCUCCCCGCCGUUGGUGCCAAGGGCCGGGCCGCCCCUACCCUGCCCCUGCAUCCCCACCACCGGCGCCGAGGGUCGUCCUAUCCCCUGAAUACGCGCCGCCGACGCGAGGCCCUACUCUCCUUAGCCUCACCGGCUACCAUGAGUUCCGCCCCUUCCUCAUCCCCGCUGCAAUCCCGAGGAGGCACCAGAGUUCCUGGGGAGAGCAGGAGGUGCAAGGCUCGUCAUGCUCGCAACAGGAGGGCUCCAUGGCGCCAGCCUCCAGGGACGCCGGUGAGGAUGCCCUGCUCUAGGCCUACCGCUUCCGAGCCUCUCCAACGCUCGCGCAUCCCACAAGGUUCAUCAGUUCCCUCUCACAUCCAGAACCUGACUUUGAAGGAGGCAAUCAAGAUUGCUACAGAAAUCGUCAGAAAUCAGCUCAAAGGGGAUUCCUAUCAAUAUGCCAAACGACCAGGUAACGCGGGUUAAUGAGCUGAUUUGAAUUCCAAAAAAAUGACAACACCCAGGACUAGCCCUUUGCUGUUUUUGCUUUAUAUAAGAAAGCUCCGCGAGCACCCGUCAAUCCGAGGAUUCGAGCCCGGGUGGGCAGCCAGCACUCUCGCUGAGCUAACCAACAGGUCGACGCCCUGUUCUCAAGCUGAUUUGAAUUCCUACUCUGAAGAGCCACAUGAAGCUGCAGAUGAAAUCAUUCAAUAGUUUCUUUUGUAUAGAAGAGGUCUCCGACAGGGAGAACAUAACUGAGGUUGCUAGCGAAUCAGAAUUUCCUUCAAACGAUGGGCAUGCCUAUUUGCUAGAUCAAGUUUCUGCUGUCAAGAGCCCCUUCAAUCCGGCUGGCAUGGAGAGUGAUUUUUAGCCUGAUUCUGUCUACGGGUUCAUGUAACAUCUUUAUUAAAUUACCUUGUACUAAGAUUUAUAAAAGUUUAUGGCAGAGGAUCUAUCAAAUUCCCAAGAUAUGUUGAGCAGUACAAAUAUUCAAGAGAAACGGUAAGAAAGUCGAUAGGACAAGGGACAGAGGAGCGAAGCAACAGUGUUAUAGGAAUGACAACCAUUGGCUCCAAGGGGAAGAGUCACGUCUCAGUAAGGAUUUUCUCCGGCGAUUGGCUAGCUUUGAGGCCAAAGUGAAAAGAUCUGAAGUCAGGAAGAAGCAUUGGAAGCCACCCAUAUGAUGCAAUACAGUGGAUUGACCCAUGUAUAGCAGGUACGGGCGAUCCAAAACAUGGAAAAGGAGUAACGGAGCCUGCAACGAAUAAGCAUAAUUGAUGCGAUCCAAUACAAUUUGUCGGGAGUGGAUGAAGGAGGAGCGGCUACUCAGUCGACGUGCAGGGAGUCGGGGCGCGGUGGUGCAGGUCUGCGAGGUCACCCUGCGCGGAGAAGAAGGAUCUGUGCAGGCCUGCGAGUACGCCGUGCAGGUGCAUGGGAGAAGACGGGCUGUUGGGCGGCGUACGGCGUCAUGGCCAGGGGUGUUCGCGAUGGGGUCGGGGAGAUCCGGUAAUCAGUUUUUCGAUCAGUUUUGCGCUGAUACUUGCGUGAUUAGCGGGAUGAGGACGUGGGUUGUUGGGUGUGCGAUCAGUUUUCCUCUGCCGGUGAAGCACGGUCAGUCAUUGUAAUUUGCUAAGUGCACACGGGUGAAUCAUGUCUGUUAAUUUGAGUCUUGUUUCAUGGGCCU